rnacentral:lncRNA from 1 species
CUCGCCAUCCCGUAUGGUAAGGAGACUCACCUCGCUCUCAAACCCGGGACCGUCUGCGGGACAUCAACUCUGCCCCUCUCGUACCAAACUCCGGAGUGCACGACAAAACCUGUGUGGAGCGACCACCACAAGCGGCUCGUGUGGAGUGAUCACCACAAGUACAAAACAGAUUGUGAGUAUGAUCCAAUCCUCUCAACUCGAGGAUACCCUACCAACUAGGGCUAACAAUGACACG